rnacentral:rRNA from 1 species
AAUGAACGUUGGCGGCGUGGAUUAGGCAUGCAAGUCGCGCGACAAGGAACCUUCGGGUUCUGGAGGAGCGGCAAACGGGGUAGUAAGGCAUCGGAACGUACCCUCUUGUUGGGAAUAGCCGCGGGAAACUGCGAGUAAUGCCCAAUAAUCCCUACGGGGCAAAGGUCCGCCGCAGGAGGAGCGGCCGAUGUGAUACCAGCUAGUUGGUGAGGUAAUGGCUCACCAAGGCUUAGACGUCUAGGGGGUGUGAGAGCAUGGCCCCCACCACUGGGACUGAGAUACUGCCCAGACACCUACGGGUGGCUGCAGUCGAGAAUCUUCGGCAAUGGGCGCAAGCCUGACCGAGC